CCAAAUAAGUAGUGAAAUGUUGAAUUUCUUAUUUCCAUCACUCAGAUUCCCAAAAUAUAUUCACCAAUCACCACCAUCUCAAUUUCAGUUCAAAAAAUUCUCCUAUCUUAAUUACAGUCAUAGAAUUUGAUGCAAGAUAUAGUAUAUAAAUAAAUUAUUACUAAUUCGGGCGUUUAAUUAUACAAUGUCAAAUUUUGUGGGCUUCCACUAUUACAUACAACACUCGAUGUUGGAGCCAUUCAAGCAAUAACUCCCACAUUCACAUUUCUUUAAUCAUACAAUAUUUAAAUAACCCAACAAUAAUAUAUAGUAGAAAAAUAAAUUAAUGUGAGUAUUAAAAAGCAGACAUUCCUUGCCCAUUUUUUUAUUCGAUUUUCACCCAUUUGUUGUGCACCACUCAGUAAAAUCCCAAUCCAUCUCAAACUCAAAGGCCGCGUUUGAAUUCUACCUUGAGUCUUUCUAGAAUUGUAGAGAGAGAAAACAGAGAGAGAAGGGGUUUUUCAGAGAGAAAACCCCUGGAGAGACUCCUUCGCCGCCUCUUCUCUCUACGGCGCUAGGCGAUUUGUCGGCGCCGCCCCUUCCCCCUUUGCCUCAGUCGAUCCGGCGCCGCCUCUUCCCCUGCCUCAAUCAGUCCGGCGCCGCCCCUUCCCCCUUUGCCUCAGUCGAUCUCGACCCGACAACCGCCGUUCUAAGCCUCAGGCCUACCCUCAUCUCUCAAAAAUCGACGUGAACAAGAAAGCCCUAACUCUUCCUCUUAAAUCUGAACUCGUCGUCGCCGUGGUUCCGAAAUAUCAGGCGACGUUGUCGCCCCAAGGCCGCCUGAAUUCUCCCCCAAGGCCGACAUUGCUCAGAUUUAGGGGAGGUCGCUCAAAAUUGAGCCUUAAUUUUCCCCCUUCCAGAUCGAGCCCUAGCUCUUCUCCUGCCGAUUCAGUUUUGCCGUUGCCGCCGCGUGUAGAAUGCCUGUGAAUCGGCGUCCUCCCAUCUCUCUACACACGAAGUCUGAAGUCAAAGCCGGCUGCUCCUCUCUCUCCUGUAACGGACUAAUCGCUGCCGCUUCCGCUACGGUGGAGUCGUCGGGUUCGAGCCACGCCUUUGCUGUUGUUCUCGGACUCCACCGAGGCAGCAAGAGCUGUCGUCAUCAUCUUCGUCUCAGCUCGGCUGAACAGGGCAGUCAGCCUUCCCUCCUCCCAAAGCUAAGUUAAUCUAUAGCUCUAUUGUGCAUUUUCGAUUUUCCUAUAAUGGUUAUGCAAUAAAUAGCACUAAGCACUAAACUCUUGCUAUUGUAUCAAGGAAUUCCUCACUGCAUUUAGCUCGUGUGAAAGUCGUAGGCUGUUUUUGGUUUUGAUGGAAGUAAAUUGAUUAUGCAAUGGCAAUGUUUGGCUACCAUGCUUAGAUGGAGGAUAUGCAUUAUGAGAUGUAGCAUAUUGAGCUCAGUAAAUACCUUGAAAAUUUGUUGGUAGGCUGCUGUAGUGGUUUUAUAAAUGAAUUGGGAAAAUCUGAUAUAUUCAAGACCUCUGAGUUUUGGCAGAACAAUGAAUGAAGCUUCUUCUUACUCUUUGAUCGUCUAUUAUUGUGUUUUCAAAUGACGUUUUGCGCGUACUUUUGAUUUGUAUAUUCUUAUUCUUGUCUGGAUUGAUUGUGCUCUUGUUAAUCAAACCUGUGCCACUCGUUUGCAGUUUUAGAACACUUUGUUGGUUUUGAACACAUUUAAUUGCACCUUACACUAAAGAUAGCAAUCUUGUUUUCCAUGUUUUUUGUGAUGUUGGAGUGUACCUAGGUCCGAGUAUAUAUUUACUCUCUUCUCACUGGAACAGAGGAAGCUGCCCUCAUGGAGCUCCUGAAUUUCAUGUAUAGUAAUACAUUAAGCAUCAACACGGCUCCUGCUUUACUCGAUAUGCUUAUGUGCUGAUAAGUUUGAGUUGUCUCAUGCAUGAGAUACUGCAGCCAUCGAUUAAGAAACUUGUCCAUGACUCCUGUGUCUGCACUAGUUUUUCUAGAUCUUCCUUCUAGCUUCCUUAUGGGUGAUGCAGUUCAACCAUUGACUGAUGCAGCGAAACAUUUCUUAGCUGCCAGAUAUAAAGAUAUCAAAGUAUCAAGAAGAGAUCAUGAAUGUGCCCCUUACUGGGAUUGAGGCAAUCUUGUGUAGUGAUGACCUUCAGGUGGCAUCAGAGGAUGUUGUUUAUGACUUGGUGCUGAAGUGGUCCCGAUUCCAUUAUCAAAAGCUGGAGAAGCGUCGGGACAUCCUAUGUUCACAAUUGGGUGGCUAUAUCCAUUACCCGUACAUGACGUGGCUAAUAUGUAAUGUUGGAUGAAAUUUGUUUGAAUGUAAUAUUAGAUUAAUAAUGUAAUGUAGGAUGAUGAUGUUUGGAUUCUAAUGUAAUGUAGGGAUGAUGAUGUUGGAUUCUAAUGUAAUGUAGGGAUGAUGAUGUUGGAUUAUAAUGUAUGAAUUUUAUUAUUAA